rnacentral:rRNA from 1 species
AAUUUUGGACAAUGGGGGCAACCCUGAUCCAGCCAUCCCGCGUGUGCGAUGAAGGCCUUCGGGUUGUAAAGCACUUUUGGCAGGGAAGAAAAGGCUCUGGCUAAUACCUGGAGCUGCUGACGGUACCUGCAGAAUAAGCACCGGCUAACUACGUGCCAGCAGCCGCGGUAAUACGUAGGGUGCAAGCGUUAAUCGGAAUUACUGGGCGUAAAGCGUGCGCAGGCGGUUCGGCAAGAAGGAUGUGAAAUCCCAGGGCUUAACCUUGGAACUGCAUUCUUAACUGCCGGGCUAGAGUAUGUCAGAGGGGGGUAGAAUUCCGCGUGUAGCAGUGAAAUGCGUAGAGAUGCGGAGGAAUACCGAUGGCGAAGGCAGCUUACUAAACCAUAACUGACGCUCAUGCACGAAAGCGUGGGGAGCAAAC